rnacentral:piRNA from 1 species
UGCCUUUAAACGCGAAAUUGU